rnacentral:misc_RNA from 1 species
AGCAGCCGCGGUAAUUCCAGCUCCAAUAGCGUAUAUUAAAGUUGCUGCAGUUAAAAGCUCGUAGUUGAAUUUCGGGACCAUCAUGUUGGUCGUGCCUCGGUACGUACUGGCAUUGUUGGUUUCUCCCUUCUGACGAACCAUGAUGUCAUUUAUUUGGUGUCGUGGGAAAUCAGGACUGUUACUUUGAAAAAAUUAGAGUGUUUAAAGCAGGCUCACGCUUGAAUACAUUAGCAUGGAAUAAUGAAAUAGGACGUUUGAUUCUAUUUUGUUGGUUUCUAGGAUCGACGUAAUGAUUAAUAGGGAUAGUUGGGGGCAUUAGUAUUCAAUUGUCAGAGGUGAAAUUCUUGGAUUUAUUGAAGACUAACUACUGCGAAAGCAUUUGCCAAGGAUGUUUUCAUUAAUCAAGAACGAAAGUUAGGGAUCGAAGACGAUCAGAUACCGUCGUAGUCUUAACCAUAAACUAUGCCGACUAGGGAUCGGAUGAUGUUAAUUUUUAAUGU